GGGCACAUGGUGUAGUUGGUUAUCACGCUCGCUUAGCAUAAGAUGGUACUAUUCUAGUUUCUGCGAGAGGUGUUGGGUUCAAUUCCCAAUGUGUCCA